CACGGUGUAUCCCUGACCGGAGUGGCCAGCCCUUGGCGAGGCACGGUGCUUUGGGUGCCUCUGCUCAGGUGCAGGUUUACCCAGAGGACUUUGUCUCCUUCCUCCCCCACGUUCGCAGCGUGCAAUGCAGCGUGCGCGUCAUGGCACACAGAGGUGCCUGAACUGCUCUUGUCUCCCUCCUGGGGCUGCGAUGCUGCUCCCUGCGCAUCGUGCCCUGCAAACUGCUUUGACGUUUGCAGAUCACAAGCAGAACGCCCGGUAACUCUUAGGCAGGCAUUGGCCUAAGGAAAUGGGAGAAGCUGCCCUUAGGAAAAGUGCAGCUGCUGUGCGGAGCAGCUUGGAGAAGGAAUCUGGCAGAGUCCUUGCCACAGCAUGGGCCCUGGUUCUCUUUAGGAGUUUAACCUUCAUGUCAGCAUUGUGCUGCUCAGUUUGCUGUAAUUUAAGACUUUUAGAGCUGGAAGGGAGUUGUGUUAUGUCCAUUUCUCCACCAGUAGUUGCCAUAUGAAAGCAUUCCGUGGUGACAGUGUUAAAUUUUACACAGUGCCAGCUUGAAGCCACCUUAAAAUAAUCUUUGAAACAUAGAAUCAAUAAUAAUAAUACUUAUGCUAAGAUGUAAACACAAGGAUCAUAGGCUAGAGUACCAAAUCCUAGCUGGUGCGGUAUGUUCCCACUGAGUACAAAGUCUGAAAUGAGUGUGGGCUAACCCAAAUAGCCCAAAUCUCAGAGAAACUGCUGUCUUGUAUGACAAGGAUGAGGGAACAUCAUGCUUCACUGACAUCAACACAUAACUAUUCCUAGACACAUCCAGUUAACAGCAACCCAAGGAUCAGUGCCAUCACACCUCUUGUACAACUGUUCUUGGGUAUUUUCCAUCAUCAUCGCUGUUCUUGAUGGAUUCACAAAAUGGUAAGUUCUGCAGAUAAGGAAGAAAGUGUUAUUGCUGCUCUGAGGAGCCUACGGUCUGUAAGAGAAAAAAGGAUUUUGCCAUUAUCUUUCUUUUGGGUUGCUGUUGGUUAAUCUAUUAAUCACAUUUUUUUUUUUAAAUAAAAAUCUUCCAGGUAGUAUAUGCCAAAAAGGGCUUUCUUUUUUUCAAAAAAUUGAGAAAUUGUCAAAUAACUGCAUGAGGAAGGACUUCCCGUGUGUGGGGAAAUGCGCAAAGGAAGACAUGAAACUUACCUGCUGAUUCCUCUUACUCACUGGUGGAACAAGUGUAGUGGAUUUGGAGUGUAUCUGAUGUUAUCAGUCAUUAAAACUAAACAGCUCUGUUAGGUAAUAUUUCAUUAAAGAUCACAAUAUCUUCAGCCUGUCUCAUGUGCUGUAUGCCAUAAUGUUCUCUAACAUAUCCCAUUUCUCAGUAGUCUUUGAGUCCACUUAAUAAACAUCUUAUCCCCCUUUGUAACUGUCCCUAUCAUCAAAUCCUGAUCCAUGAAACACAGUGGGUGUUAAAAGGAUGCGACCUAGGCUGCAAACAGAACUGCUGUCGCUCUCCUUCACCUUCAGCUUUUCCAAAAGUUUAGCCGAGGGUUAAAAUGCGUUUACUGAGUGCUGCUGGGGUGCUUGCAUUACUGCUUCUGCUGGCUUGUGUAUUGCAAAAUUAAUUGCAUCAAGUUGACGUCAUUUAAGUUUAACUGCUUUAGCCGUAUUUGAAUUACGUUUCGCACUAAUGCUGGUCUUGUGACACAGCAGAGCACUUGCCAUUUGUGCCGUUUGCACAGUGGAGGAGUAGUUCAGUCAAUGUAUUUGUAACACAAAAAGAAGUUCACUUGCUGGAAAGUGGAGGUCCUAUGCUAUUAAUGUAGCUCCCCUCAGCUAUUGUGAAAAAUACUGAAAGAAAAAAAAAAAAAAAAGACAAAAAAGCUGAUAUUCUUUAUUUUUAUUAUAAUUUUAACAACAUGAGUAAAUUGAAAUCUUUAAGCAAAGCAGUUACAUGAAGAGGGUCUAAUGAAGUUGUUCAAGCUACAACCUACUUCGACUGUUGAAUCAAACUGAGUAAAGCAGGCUGCUUUGAUGGGUUUUCAGCUUCCACGAACAUACUUAGCAGUGACAUCUUUUGCUUUGAAUGGCAAUGGUCUUCUGUGGGCUGGGAAUUUCAUAAUCAGCUGAAAGUUAAAAAUAAAAUUGAUCACUACUACAAAUAGGAAAACUGCUGAACCAAGUACUAUCUUCAGUUCUACUGGUGAGACCUCAUCAGCUUCACAGGACCUGACUGUGCAGCAGAAAGCGCAUCUGGUAUACUUGGUCUUUGUUUUUUGAAAUUUCUGUGUGAGUACAAACUUUCACCCUGACCUAAGCAGAGAACAAGUCAAGAUCUGUGGAUCAGAUUUCCAAAAGUUCCAUAACUAACAGUGAUUGAGGAUCUUAAAAA